CGCACACUCCUAUCCUCUUAUAUCUACUCAACAUUCAGGUAAACAUUCCUUAAUUCUAUGUGUUGUUCAUCUUGCAUUAUGAAAAGUGAUCUACGUACCCAUUGAUAUUUUUCUUCCUACUAAUUUGUAGGUUGGACCACUUGCCAGUAGGAGUAGCUGAUACGUCGCCAACGUAUCUAUAAUUUUUGAUUGUUCUAUGCUAUUAUAUUACCCAUUUUGGAUGUUUAUGGGCUUUACUUUGCACUUCUAUAUCAUUUUUGGGACUAACCUACUAACCGGUGGCCCAGCCCGUAUUGCUGUUUUUUCUGCCUAUUUCAGUGUUUCGAAGAAAAGGAAUAUCAAACGGAGUCCAAACGUAAUGAAACCUUUGGGAGCGAUCUUUUUGGAACAAAUGCAAUCCAGGAGACUUAGAGUGGACGUCAAGAAGCAGCCGAGGCGGCCACGAGGCAAGAGGGCGCGCCCUAGUGGGGUAGGCGUGCCCCCACCCUCGUGGGCCCCUCGUGGCUCCCCGACCUACCUCCUUCGCCUAUAUAUACCUCCAUACCCUAAAAACAUCCAAGAGCACCACGAAAAACUAUUUCCACCGCCGCAACCUUCUGUAUCCGCGAGAUCCCAUCUUGGAGCCUUCGUCGGUGCUCCGUCGGAGGGGGAAUCGACCAUGGAGGGCCUCUACAUCAUCUCCAAGGCCUCUUUGAUGAGUUGUGAGUAGUUUACCACAGACCUUCGGGUCCAUAGUUAUUAGCUAGAUGGCUUCUUCUCUCUCUUUGAAUCUCAAUACAAAGUUCUCCUUGAUUGUCGGGGGUUCGGUGCGACAUAUGCCAAGGGAUGGCUUAUCAUGGUGUGAGCAAGUAGAACGUCGCCGGUGCACGGAAGCGGGAUGAGGCGAAGGCAUGCACGCCGGCGGAUCUUACCCAGCUUUAGGGCUCUCCGAGGAGAUAACACCCCUACUGUUGCUCUGCGGGGUCUCCGCAUGAUCACUAUGGCAAAGUGAAUACAAGGGUGCUCCUAGAGCUGUUUCUGGAGGUAGGAGAGGGCAAGGCUAGCUCCCUCCUUCCUAUAUGAUCGGGUCUAAUGCUAAAGAAGCCCCCUCCCCCUUGCAUGGGUGCCCCGAGGGCUUAUAUAGGCCUGCCCCCCAGGGAUACAAUGGUAAUCUGGCAGGGCGCGGGUCCCAGCUGUUUGUCUCUCAGGCCGCCGUCUUCUCCGCCGAUUGCUGGGCCCUGCCGACUGGCGGGCCCCGCCGAUAGGCUUGGUACUGUAGCAGUGCUUCUGAUGACGCUGGCUUGGUCAUGGGGUCAUGGCAACAGUGCAGCCGUCUGGCGGACGAUCACUGUAGCCAUUCCCCGUCUUAUUUGGUUAAUGGCGUGCGGGGCCCGUGGGAGGGGCCGGCCGACUCCAGGGGGCCGACUCCCACGGGUCCGUCUUUGGAGUGUUCUCGCCGUCUUCUGUGCUCCCACUGACGGGCGGGUCCCGCCGUCUCUGGGUCGUACAGGUAGGCCGUCGUGGGUACAUUGCGCCGCCCACUGAGGCUGAGGUCAGGGCAGGCAUGGCAACAGUGCCGCGCCACGAUGGAGAUCUCCAGCGAUACGACGCACUAUAGCCAUGCCAGCCCCUCAUAAGCAGGGUAGAGACGGCCACGCUGUGACCGUACCCCGCCCCAUCCAUCGUGGCGAAGGCAGGAGAUGGUUGGAGUCGCGGGCCGACUCCCCUCAGCCGGCUUCUCUGGAAGUCGUCAGCUAAGAGUCGGCUUCCCUGGAAGUCGUCAACUAAGAGUCGGCUUAUCUCAAGGUCGUCCUUGGGAUGCGGCCGUGAGGGAUAGUCAGCGGCCUUGCCGCUGACUCUCAGAAGGCGGCUCCUUAUCGCAGAGUCUUGAGGGGCGCAGUCUGCCCCGAUGCUUUGAAAGGUUCUGGGGCUCGGGUUGGCCUACCCGUGGCCCAUUACUCCGACAGUAGUCCCCGAAGCUAGUGAGGCACCGAGGGAGAUGCGUCGGGGAGCCUCAACAGUUUCAUCUUUCUGGGGGUAGAAUCUCGGCCUUGCCCGCCGUCUUCCUCCAAGCCAACUAGCUGGAGUCGGAUUCGCAGAAAGUCGUCUUGCCUCUUAGUGAGUUUGAAUGUCGCAGCGGGUUCCAGGCAGCGUGCCUGAUAAGCUUCCGGGCAGCCGCCCGCUGCGGGUCCAUCGUGUGGCGCCACGCGGCAUGGUCAGUCUGCCAACCCAUGCACGUGAUGGGACAUGACCUCAAGCAGGGCCCGCCACUAUCGGGCCUCGGCAUCCGAACGAAUCCGUAGGGCCGUGCAAACGGUUGGUAUGCCCACGUUGUAACUGCGCAGUUACUUCGUGUGGUAAAUCGUGGGGGGCGUGGGGUCCCGCGCACAGUUAAUCCCGCGCCCGCCCCAUCUGCUUCUCAGCCCACGAGCCUAUAAGUAGGCGGGAGGAGUGUGGCAACGGAGCACGCGCGCCCAUUUCCCCUUGCUUUCUUCUUGCUUAUUCUUCCUCUUGCUGCCGCCGCACCGAACCACGCCACGCUCUCAGCGAUGAGCUCCUCCUCCACUUCCGCGCCUCUUGCUGUGUGCUCCGGCAUGUGGGACGGCUCUGAGGUGGACGACGACCAUAUCGAGUUCCUCCGCCGGACGCGCCGCCUCCCCGGCGCGGACCUAGUGCGAGCCCGCGCCGCGCCAGAGAGGGAAAUAUUGCCGGCGCCGGAGGAGGGCGAGCGGGUCGUAUUCCACUCGCACCUUAUGCGCGGCCUGGGGUUGCCAGCGAGCGUCUUCUUCCGCUCCUUCUUGGAGUUCCACGGGCUCCAGCCGCACCACCUCACCCCGAACACGGUGGUGCUGCUGGCUGCCUUCGCCACCCUGUGCGAAGGCUUCCUCGGUGUUCUCCCCACCAUCGAGCUGUGGGGGGAAUUCUUCCAGUCCCAGCUCGGCACACACGUCGCAGGCGUGCCGGCCCAGUGAGGCACUUUCAUCGUGAUGUGGAGAUCGACGGCCGACAACCCAUUUCCCACCAUCCCGCUGAUCAAGUCGGUGAAGAUGUGGCAGCGGUCGUAUUUCUACGUGAAGAACGUUGCCCCAAACGGCGACUGGGUCAAUCUGCCGCCUUAUGAAGCCGUCGCACCGGCUGGGAGGCUCCCCAGCUGGUCCCACCGAGUCAAGACGCUGACUCCCGCCGGAGCCGCCGCCGUCGCGCGACUCCGAGUUCUGACACAGUCGGAGGGUCUAACCGGGGCCGACCUGUUGGCCGCCUUCGUGGCGCGCUGAGUCCUCCCGCUCCAAGGCCGACCUCAUCUGAUCUGUCAGAUGAGCAACCACCGAGACCCGAGUCGGAUGUGCUCCAAAGACAUGCCCCACGUGAGGUGGCGGACACGGUGAAUUACAUCGCGAACUGCGGUCUCGCGGUGGAUUGGCAGUUCGGCAAGGAGCCGCACUCAUGCACCAACCCCCCGCCUGCGAUAAGUUAUCUCUCUUUUUCUUCUGUCUUCUUUUGUAGCCGAAUCCGACUUCUGAUCUUUUGGUUUUUUCUCGAGCCAGAACCCCCUUAUCCAGCCCUCAGCCGGCACCACGGGCCCGACCCGUCAGUUCGUCUCCGACCGGGCGGCGAGCAACGUCGACGACCCUGACUUGGGGGUGGCGGCGAUGGAGGCCGACGCCAAAGGAGGCGGAGGAGGAGGAGGAGGCUUCAGGCCGUCGGCCACCUUUGCCGACUGGCCUGAUGACGAUGCCGAGGGGAAAGUCAUCCCGCGCCGCCAGCCAAGAGUUGGCCAGCCGAGCACGGGUUCCUCAGCCGGCAUGGAUGGUCAAGGCGGCGCGAAGCGGCGCCGCGCCGGGCCGAGUUUUCUCGGCGGCCGGUCGAAGAAGUUUAAGGGGGCGGCCGCCGCGACCAAGCGGGAAGAGGCGAUCGCGAAGGCCAACCACUUCCGCAAGGAAGUGAAGAAGCCGCCGCUGGUCUCCGCGUAAGUGCUUCCAUCUUGUCUUGUCUUCUACUAGUGAAUUUGUCCAAAUCUUUUACACGCCCUUAUUGCUUCAGGGCUCCCCUCACCUUUGAGAGGGUCGCUGCCGCCUCCGUCAUGGGGUCGGCAGAGACGUCUGCCACUACUCGGCGGAUUGACCCCGCCGCCGACCUCCGGGAGGCGACAGAGCGGAACGCGCAGGAGAAGCGCGACAAGGACGAAGCCGCCCGCCUGGAGAAGGCGGAGGCCGAGAAGGCGGCAGCCUCCGCUCAGAGGAAGCUGGAUGAGGCCGAAGCCGCCGUUGCGGCAAGGCGGCAAGCAGAGGACGCCGUGCGCCGUCAAUCGGCGCUGCUUGUCGUUCCGCUGAACUCCGUGCCGCCGCCCCCGGAGUUCACGGGGCAGACUAGGGAAGCCGGCGGCGAGCACCCCAUCAUGGAGAAGGAAAGCGGCGAGGCCUCCAUGUCGGACACGGCCGUGCCACCACCGCCGCCUCCGCUGCCGUCUGGGAGCGUGCGAGGUAAAUAGCCGGCAGGCCCGCCAGUUCCGCCGACUGCGGACGAGUCUAAGGCGAGGCUGCUCCUCCAAGUCGCCUCGCCAGCGCGCCACCGCCUCGAGAAGGCGACUUCGGCGCCACGCCCGUUGGAGACCGGUGCCGCCAGCUCAGCCAUCCCAGACGCUGAGGCAACGAGUGUCGCGCCCAUUGGGUGGGUGCGAGGAGGCGGCACGGGUCCGUUGAACCAGGCGCUUCUGGAUGUUCAGGCGAAACUGCAAGCCGAGGUUGACGCCAUCUAGAACUGCACCAAGGCGCAUCUGGCGUCGCGAACAGCCGUCCGGGUAUGCUUUAUUUUGACUUUGUUUUUCCUUGCUUUCCUCUGUGGGGGCGCGCCAGCGCACCCACUGGGUGUAGUCCCCGAGUUUCGGGACGGCUGCUGAGCAGGCGGCUCGGAACUCCAUCUAGUGAGUUCCAAAUAUUUAUCUUUGUCUAAAAUUCUUAUUUCAGGAGUAUCACAACCUCCACGCCAUUGCCUUCAACCGCAAUGUCGAGGAGCUGGGCAGGCGGACUGCCGACUUGACGGAGAGCCGGAGUGAGUUCUUCUUCUUCGCGGGGGCGCGCUGGCGCACCCGCGAGCUGUAGUCCCCGAGAUUUGGGCCGACUGCUGAGCAGUCGGGCCGGAUCUUCCCGGCGACCUUCUUUGCUGAUGACUUAACGUCUCUUUCUUUUGUUCUUCAGGGGCCAACGCACUCUUCAGCAGCAGCUGGGCGAAGCCAACACCGCCUUGCGCUUCAAGGGGGAGGAGUGCAGCAAGCUUGCCGUGGAGCGCGACCUGCUGGCUGCACAGCUGGUCGAGCAGAGGGAGCUGCUCAAGAAGGCGCAGGACGAGGCCGCGAAGAGAGAGGCUACUCUCCUGGCCGAGUUCGAAAGCAAGCGCUCCUCCUGGACCGACAAGGAGGCACAUCCGACCUCCAGCUUCCAUGAGAUCGAGGACAUCGUUGACGGUGAGUUUCUUUUCUUCCUUUCUUUCUUUGAGCUUCCGACUAUGGGUCGGGCUAACUUCUGAUUUUUUGACUUGCUUCUUUUUUGUCUUGGCAGACUUCUUCCCUGGCCACUUGCAGGCAGUCACACAGGCCAUCGAAGCUGAUCGCCAGGCGCGGAGGGCGAAUGGUGAGGAGAUCGCCGCCAACGCCCCCCGAACCCUCGAUGAGCAGCUAAUGAGCAUCGAGGCCCGUCUUCGGCCGGCCCAUCGGUUGAUGGGCCGGCUUCAGUGUGUCGGCGCCCAGGCGGUUGCCGUUCUAUGGCCAGACAUACCGGUUCUGCGCACUGCCAGUCGGACUGCCGACUGGCUGGAGGUCGCAGCUGGCCGUCUUGAGGCUUGGAAGGGUUCCUCGGCCCGGGCUGGAGCGCGCCGGGCCUUGGAAUUUGUCAAGGCGUGGUAUCCAGGGCUGGACCUAGACCGACUGGCCGCGUUCCGGUCAGAGGCCCAGGUGGAGCUGGUAGCUGUGGAAGACGCCCUCGUCGCUCGUGCCGCGGCGAUCGCCGACUAUGCCGACACCAACAUCUUCGUCCCUGAUUGGGGUGAAGACGGCAGGGAGGUGCCGCCGGAGUGGUUCGGGAUGAACCCGGACUACGACGAGGACUCUGCUGUAUUUAUUAUUGCAACUUUUAUUUAUAAGUUGUAACUUAUGCGUGGUACCCCGAGUUUGCAUGGCGAGUAAAUUAUUUAGUUUCUAUUAAUGUGAGUAGUUCUGUUGCGGUUUGACUCUAUUAUAUUACUAUUGUUCUCUAGCGAAAAAUCCUGGAGUGAGAUUUUUUUUCCCUGAGUUGCUGCAUCGUAUAUCUUAUCACGACGUGGAUCAUUUUAUUUCACACAACACCAUGGCAGCAGACUCACAACCGCUCGAACUCAUUCACUGCUUGCAAAAACACGUAACCGUGGGGUAUUUGUUUUUUUUUCAAAACCGCUCUUAGCAAAUCUCGAGGACGAGAUUUUUUCUUAAGGGGGGUAGUGUUGUGACACCCCAAAAUUUUAAUCUUGUUUUACUAAUUAAAAUUUUUCCUAGAAACUAAAACUUUUAUUUUCUAUAUUUUCCUUCUGAUUUUAGGACCACUCUUUUCUUUAUUAUUAUGGAGUUUUACCCCCUAGUGAAAUCAUUUCAAUCAUUGUUGGACUUAAUUUUUUUCCCUCUCAAAUAAAACAAUUCUUUAUCAGUGGGAUUAUUUGCAUAAUUAUUUUCCCUGAUGCCUUAUUUCUGUAAAAAUGAUUUUUCUAAGCUUCAAGGCCUCUUUUACACUGCAACCCUUUGAUAAAUUCAGUUAAAAAUUCCACCAACAAUUGGAGAUGUCAUGUGAUGUUUUUAAAACAAUUUUAUGCAAAAAUAUAUUUCAUUCCUUGGAUAUUUUGAGUUCUACACAUGAUUUUCAAAUCUGGUCCAGUGGGCAGUUUUACACUACAACCUAUUUAAAUAUUUCUUUAAAACUUCCACCAAAAUUUUGGGAUGUCUAUAUGAGUAUGUUAAUUAUCUUUUUGCAAAAACCCAAUGAUGUCCUUUGAAAAAUUUGAGUGAAUCAACAUAUUUUCCAUUCUGGUCCAACUUGAUGAUUUGUACAACAACUAUAUUUUAAGUUGCUCCUUUAUCCAUGAUUUCUUUUCCUACUUGUAGUCCUCCCUGCUAAAUCCUUAAGUCCAGAAGAGUGGACCCAUUGGAGGAUGUUUAGUGCAUGCAACCAUGCCCUCUUCUUUCUGUCCAAAACUGAUGUUUUGCAAAACUUGCACUAGCAAGUUUGUGCUUUGGACAAACUAACCUCACCACCCUCUCUUUUAGCUAAAGAGACCCCACUCUGGAAGUUUUGGCCACCCCAAGAGAUGCCUAGGUGCAUGUGGCAUUCUGUCGAGCACCCUGUAGGCAUGACCAGUUUUGACAUGAGUCUUAGCUUGCACUGUGAUCUUGCUUCCCUUGCCUAGCUACCUUGUCCAAUAGACUCCUAGCUACCCAUAACCUAGGUCUGCUAAUUCCCAGCCUCACCCGAGACCUCUAACACGCCUUGACAUUUUGUCGAGCACGUCCCGUGCAUGCUCUGGGCGCGAGCAGAGCGCGCGUUUUGCACGUGCCGCGACCGAGCCGCCACGUCGCGCCCCUGGUUUUGCCCACGCCACAGCGCCGCGCCAUGCACUCCCCUUCUCACCAGAACGCGCCAAGCAGCCUUGGUGCCCUGCAGCACCGCCGUCAGAGCCCUUGGCGGCACGCCGGCGUCCGCAGCACGCGUCUGCCAGGUCGGUGUCGCCCAGGCCUAUCCCGCUCGCCACCUGCCCCUGGAACAACUCAUCCUCAUCCUCUCGAGUGUCCUCUAGCUCUCGUCGUCGCCACGACGCCCUGGCGCUACAGGGAGGUGGUUCACCGACGAACUUAUCCGGUCGCCGCUAACCGACCUCGUUGCGGUAUAUAAGGAGGCCCCGAACCCAUUCGAGCAGGGAGGCAACCUCAGGCCACCUUCACGGCACCCCCACAGCCUGCAAUCGUCGGAGGGAGGCCUUCUUCCCCAUCUCCGGCAACCACAGCCGCCGCCACUGCCCCGCCCAUUCCGGCACCACUAGAGCCUCCCCCUCUCCACUCUCUUCACCAGAAACUCCCUCUCCCCCUCGUGAAUCCACCCCCCUGCUCGAUUUUGAUCGAGACUCAUUGCGGGAGAAAAAUCACUUUGCCCGACGACCACUGUCCGCCGCGAAGCUCACCGCCGGCAGCUCCGUCCACCCCAGAGACCAUAUCAACCACCGGAGUGACCAUCUUGAUCCCCUGAGCACGUGGAUGGCCUCCGUUCUCCGAACGGUGCCGUCAUUCGCCGGCGAGCCUCGCCGGAGCUCCACCUCUGUUUCGGCCGGAGGAGGCGACGCGCGCGUGGACUGGUCAAACCUAACCAGUGGGCCAGGCGGUCCACUGUCAGCAACCCAGUGCCGAUCCACGCGGGCAUAAGUGGAAACAUAUUUUUAGAAUACGCCUUCGACGUGGUCAGUCCGAAUCAUUUUUCUUUUUUUGUUUUAUUUUCUUUUUAAAAACAGAUUUUGACCACAACUUUGACUACCUGUAACUUUUUAAUGACAACUCCAAAUGAAUUGAUUCUUUUCCCUACCUCUCUCAAAUUUAAUCUAGUUUAUUUUAAGAUUUAUUUGAAAAAAUUUCAAAACAAAUUUUUGUGCUGUUUUUGAAUUUGUGUGUUAAUUCAAAUUUAUUUAAAAUAGGACUUUGGAGAGAGAGAAGAAAACUUUCAAAAGUUUUGGAGUGCACGCUGCCUUUCCACACAAUGAAGGCAAGCAUUCUGAACCCUGGCAUAGUAUUUUUUGCAUGCAUUGUUUGACACGAUCAUGACACCACCUCAAUACAUGGAACUCGUUAUUUUAUGUGGUCAUGUGAUCGUCUGCAUGAAUGUUUAUUGAAAAUGUCCUUGCUGUUGGAAAUGGAUAUGCUUGUAAUGAUGAUCAUCCUCAUAUGCCUUUCGUGCCUACCGGAAGGAAAACGGGAAAGUCUCUGUCUUGGGUAGACCCGAGCUUAUCCCAAGUUCCUCGUCGAGACGAGUGUGUCCGGCAUGGCAUGAGGGGUAUGAUGAGUGGUGAUUCUAUCUGUUGGAUGAAAUACAUUCAUUAUGCUAAUCAUGCAGGGAAAUUAUAAACCUCCUGAGUCGACCAUAGAUCGAGUCUUGUUCCAGUAACCCCCACACUUGUUUCGUGCUACCACUUGUCCCUACCACAGGCAGGGUACGGUUCAGUAAAUUGUCAACCCCUUUCUAGCACACACCAUACAGAGGGGCCGGGAUGAGGGUACCAAGGCCAUGGAUUAAAGCCAGUCAUCCGGUCAGGGGGCAUAGGUGUUUCGGUUGUAGCCGAGGGGGUAGCUUCCCCAGUUUUGCGCGCGGUAUAAAUUUUAUGAUCCCAUGCUACUCGAGGUUGUAGCCUCCCCACUUAGAGUUUUGCUUAACGAGUGUCGUGGGUGAUUCCAGACACCGGUAAGUUAAGCUGGUGUGUGCAAGUCAGGUACGUUUUCAAUUAAAAGACCGUAGACGGAAUUAGUCCCGAUGGACUAAAGGAAUCCGUUGCUCGCGAGUAAAGAGUGCACCCUCUGUAGAGAUUAAACCUAUUCGAAUAGCCGCGUCCAUGGUUAAGGACUACAGUCUGGGUGGGUCAAGUGUCGGUCUUCGGAGGAGAACUACUAAACCAGAACCCGGAUCAUGACUGAUGACUUGUGAUAAAUAUGUUUACGUUUAUUGCGGACUAACCCAUUCUAUUAUCUGAAUUAUUGGGUAUCCCUGGGACGGUUCUACCACCUGGAGACUCAUUGUGAUUAUUUAUUUAUAAGCCCUUUAUGUGGUGUCGCUGAGACGCCCGACAGUGGCAUUGCUUGUCAUUUAUUUAUAAGCCCUUUAUAUGGUGUCGCUGAGACGCCCGACUGUGGCAUUGCUUGUCUUUUAUUUAAAAGCCCUUUAUGUGGUGUCGCUGAGACGCCCGACUGUGGCAUGCUUGUUAUUCAUUUACUUUAUAAGCCCUUUAUAUGGUGUCGCUGAGACGCCCGACUGUGGCAUGCUUGUUAUUUAUUUACUUUAUAAGCCCUUUAUGUCGUGUCGCUGAGACGCCCGACUGUGGCAUGCUUGUUAUUUAUUUACUUUAUAAGACCUUUAUGUGGUGUCGCUAAGACGCCCGACUGUGGCAUGCUUGUUAUUUAUUUACUUUAUAAGCCCUUUAUGUGGUGUCGCACAGACGCCCGACUGCGGCAUUUUAUUUCCACUCCAUUAUUGCUCAUUCAUGUUAUAUUUAAAUAACCGGUUUGCAUGCAUAAAAGAUCUUUAUUUAUGACUGACGAUGUGAUUAUAGAACAUUUCAGUGCAUGAUUAUCAUUUAUAUUAUACCCGUGUUCAUAAUGUUUGCGAGUACAUUCAAAGUACUCACUGGCUUGUCCCUGGCUAUUGUCUUGGCCAGAUUUCUUGCACGGAGAGGAGCGACGUGAUGACAGCCCCGGAACCUAAGCAAUGGUGAUAGCAGCCUCGUGAAGAUAGGAGUUAUCCUGGUCAGCUGUUCCUGUGGGAAAUGGAGUCCCAUAGACGUUGAUGAUUUUAGACCGCUUCCGCCAUCAACCACUAGAACCAUUUGUUGUACUCACAGGCCAAAAUGGUCUUGUACUACAUAUGUUGUAUUUUGCUUGGAAUUUCUGUAUCAAGUUGGUGCCUCAUUAGCUAACAGUAAUCCUGGGGCUGGUGAGCAAAACGGCCAUUUUCUGGAAAUUAAUACCCAGAAAACUGGUCGCCACAAACUUGGUAUCAGAGCCAGGCUAACCAUUGGCUAAUCCUAUCUUAGCCAGGUCGAAAAACUUAGGCAAACCAACCCACCAGACCUUAACCAAACCCCAGCCAAGCUUCUCGUUCAAGAUAGCCACACAGUGACCCCGACACUUUUGGCAGUCGGUGCCCAACCUAUGAACCUAGCCUUUCUAUCACGCACCAGUGACCAGCACCCAAGAUGUCUCAUUCGAAAGCGUGCGAAGGAAGACUCCGUCCCCUUUUCCUAUAAAAAGGGCACGCUAGCCCCAACCCAGCGCAGCACAGCCUCUACCCCAAACCGAGCCACAAUGCCUGGCCCCGUCGUGCACAAUGAGACCACAACAACCAACCUUGGAGGCUUUGUGACCAUACUCGCAAACCUCACCCGUCGUGCCUAUGCGUUAGAAGAGCCUCCAGAAUAUGUGGUGUACCAAGGACCCAUGAGCGGUGAGAGCCGUCAAUUCUGGGCCACUGUACACGUCUACGGUUGGGGUCUAGCGCCCGAGCGCCCCUACAUGGUUCACCGGAAGGACAACUUCCUUUGAGCCACAAGCCGUCCAACUAGCUGCUCGAGAGGCUAUAGUUCAUCUCCGGUACUUGUCGCCCAGAAUUAACUGUCGCUCGUUCUACUACUAUCCCAGACGUGAAGGGUAUGGUAGACCACCCCAAGUUGCCAACGGAGAUCAUGAGACGGAUCCUGCAUUGUUGCACCUAGUGUGCUAUGUAGGUGCAUUAGAGGAACUGUUCAAUCAAAUCACCAUUGAUUUGAUCGCAACUCGUGGAGAGCUGGUUCGCCAAGCCCUGGCAAGCAGGGAAGGAGAGCUGGUUCGCCACGCCACCGGACCGCGCCUAGGCGGCUAGGCCCAGUUGGAGCCGGCGAGCAGCCCACAACACGAUCCAUCUCACGCUGGUAGGCUUCUGACAAGUGUCUCAUGCUUUCCAGCUUCUUCGUGCCCUCGACGAGCUGAAGGCGGCGCACCUCCAGCGUCCCGGCGUCAGCGUCUCCCGAAAUGGGCGUGGUCAGGUCUUGCAGGGCCGCGUCGAGUGGAUCAUGAGCUCCUUCGCCGGAAUGCUCGCCGUGAUCGAGGAUGAGGACCUCCGUGACAGUGCUUCCGCUGCUCACUGUGCGAGGGAGCGGCUCGUCGUAGACCACCACAUUAGUGGGGAACGCGUCGAGCAACGCGGUGUCGGAGUCGACCAGCAUCGGGUCAGUGGAUCCUAUGGACUCCAGGUCCACGGCAGGCUCGCCGGCAACAUGGAGUUGGUCGAGGAGACCCAAGAGGAGGCUCUCGGGGCCGUUCGUGCCUGCGUCGGAUGCAGGAUCAUUGGAGAGGCGAACCUCGCCAAUGAGUUUGGCGAGGCAGCUGGCCGCGCAGGCGAUCUCAGCACCAUGCAGCAUGUCGGCGCGGACUCCGUCUGGCGUGCCGGGCUGGCUGUGCUCGCCAGGGAGGAAAAGGGUUCCCGUCUAGAGCAGGUCUCCGGACGACGGUGCACCUCGCCCCACGGUGGGUGCCAAAUGUCGGGGGUUGGGUGCGACAUAUGCCAAGGGAUGGCUUAUCAUGGUGGGAGCGAGUAGAACGUCGCCGGUGCCUGGAAGCGGGAUGAGGCGAAGGCAUGCAUGCCGGCGGAUCUUACCCAGCUUCAGGGCUCUCCGAGGAGAUAACACACCUACUGCUGCUCUGCGGGGUCUCCGCAUGAUCACUAUGGCAAAGUGAACACAAGGGUGCUCCUAGAGCUGUUUCUGGAGGUAGGAGAGGGCAAGACUAGCUCCCUCCUUCCUUUAUGAUCGGGUCUAAUGCUAAAGAAGCCCCCUCCCCCUUGCAUGGGUGUCCCGGGGGCUUAUAUAGGCCUGCCCCCAGGGAUACAAUGGUAAUCAGGCUGGGCGCGGGUCCCAGCUAUCUGUCUCUCAGGCCGCCGUCUUCUCCGCCGAUUGCUGGGGCCCGCUGACUGGCGGGCCCCGCCGACAGGCCUGGUACUGUAGCAGUGCUUCUGAUGACGCUGGCUUGGUCAUGGGGUCAUGGCAACAGUGUCGCCGUCUGGCGGACGAUCACUGUCGCCAUUCCUCGUCUUGUCUGGUUAAUGGCGUGCGGGGCCCGUGGGAGGGGCCGGCCGACUCCAGGGGGCCGACUCCCACGGGUCCGUCUUCGGGGUGUUCUCGCCGUCUUCUGUGCUCCCGCUGACGGGCGGGUCCCGCCGUCUCUGGGUCGUACAGGUAGGCCGUUGUGGGCACAGUGCGCUGCCCACUGAGGCUGAGGUCAGGGCAGGCAUGGCAACAGUGUCGCGCCACGAUGGAGAUCUCCAGCGAUACGGCGCACUGUAGCGAUGCCAGCCCCUCGUAAGCAGGGUAGAGACGGCCACGCUGUGACCGUACCCCUCCCCGUCCAUCAUGGCGAAGGCAGGAGAUGGUUGGAGUCGCGGGUCGACUCCCCUCAGCCGGCUUCUCUGGAAGUCAUCAGCUAAGAGUCGGCUUCCCUGGAAGUCGUCAACUAAGAGUCGGCUUAUCUCAAGGUUGUCCUUGGGACGCGGCCGUGAGGGAUAGUCGGCGGCCUUGCCGCUGACUCUUAGAAGGCGGCUCCUUAUCGCAGAGUCUUGAGGGGCGCAGUCUGCCCCGAUGCUUUGAAAGGUUCUGGGGCUCGGGUUGGCCUACCCGUGGCCCAUUACUCCGACAUCGAUCUUCUUGGAGAUCUAUUCUAUGUAACUCUUUUUGCGGUGUGCUUGUCGAGAUCCGAUGAAUUGUGGGUUUAUGAUCAAGUUUAUCUAUGAGAAAUAUUUGAAUCUCCUCUGAAUUCUUUUAUGUAUGAUUGGUUAUCUUUGCAAGUCUCUUCGAAUGAUCAGUUUGGUUUGGCCUACUAGAUUGAUCUUUCUUCCAAUGGGAGAAGUGCUUAGCUUUGGGUUCAAUCUUGCGGUGUCCUUUCCCAGUGACAACAGGGGCAGCAAGGCACAUAUUGUAUUGUUGCCAUCGAGGAUAAAAAGAUGGGGUUUAUAUCAUAUUGCAUGAGUUUAUCCCACUACAUCAUGUCAUCUUUCUUAAUGAGUUACUCUAUUCUUCAUGAACUUAAUACUCUGGAUGCAGGCAGGAGUCGGUAAAUGUGUGGAGUAAUAGUAGUAGAUGUAGAAUCGUUUCGAUCUACUUGUCACGGACGUGAUGCCUAUAUACAUGAUCAUGCCUAGAUAUUCUCAUAACUAUGCAGUUUUCUUUCAAUUGCUCGACAAUAAUUUGUUCACCCACCGUAAUACUUUUGCUAUCUUGAGAGAAGCAACUAGUGAAACCUAUGGCCGCCGGGUCUAUCCUUUAUCAUAUAAGUUUCCCAUCUAAUUUUAUUUGCAUCUUUACUUUCCAAUCUAUAGCAUAAAAAUACCAAAAAUAUUUAUCUUAUCUUAUUAUCUCUAUCAGGUCUCACUUUCGUGAAGGGAUUGACAACCCCUUUAUUGCAUUGGUUGCAAGGUUCUUGUUUGUUUGUGUAGGUACAAGGGACUUUUGAGGAUCCUCCUACUGGAUUGAUACCUUGGUUGUCAAAAACUGAGUCAAAUACUUACGCUACUUUGCUGCAUCACCCUUUCCUCUUCAAGGGAAAACCAACGCAGUGCUCAAGAGGUAGCAAGAAGGACUUCUGGCACCGUUGCCGGGGAGGUCUUCGCUCAAGUCAAGACAUACCAAGUACCCAUCACAAACCCAUCUCCCUCGCAUUACAUUAUUUUCCAUUUGCCUCUCGUUUUCCUCUCCUCCACUUCACCCUUGCCGUAUUCUUUGCCCCUCUUCCAUUCGAUCUUUUGUUUGCUUGUGUAUCCAUGUGCCUUCUAUGUGCUUGCACCUUUGCUUGCUAAAAAUCUAUCGGUAUGGAUCCAAUUAAAGUGUUCUACUUGGAUAAUCUUCGAUCCUUAUGUGCUCGUGCUAAAACACCAACUAGCCUAGUUGAUGGGAAAUCUUUAGAUGAGCAUGCUCAUUUUGUGCGUCACCAUUUGUCUGGAAAAGGGAGACUCUUAUGGGAUCAAAUAAACAGAUUGUUGUGUUAUGUUUGGAAUCUUUGUGAAAUUUAUGAUUUUACUUGUUGCUCUAAGAACCCUAAAGAAACACCUCCCCUACCUAUGUGAGUUUAAUUAAAAUGAAAUCUUAUCUUCUUAUGCAAAGGGUGUUUAUAGUUACUAUGAUAUCAAACAAACUGAAGAAUUUGUUUCUUUUAAGGGUGCUUAUGAAGUUGCUUCUUUGAUUGAAAAGUAUGAUAUUACUCUCUACGAAUCUGAAAAUUUUGACAUACUUAAAUAUUGCUAUGAAAACUAUGCUCAUAAUAUCUAUAUCAAACAAUUUAUUGAGAGAAUGACUGUUGCUUUGGAAGAAAAUAAUGAUAUGCAUGAGUCUAUAGAUAAUGAUUCCGCUGAUUUGAUUGAAACAUCCCUUGAGGAAGAUGAUGCUUGCUAUUCUUGUGGCCAUGAUGCCAAUAUUUAUGAAGAUGAAUUUGCUAUAGUUCCCUAUGUUAAACAUGAGAUCGUUGCUAUUGCACCCAUACUUGGUAGUUCCUUCAAUGAAAAGUAUGAUUGCAAUGAUGUUACUAUAAAUUCUCUUGAUGUCAAUUGUGCUAAUAAUAUGCAAAAACCUAAGCUUGGGGAUGCUAGUUUUGCUAUGUCUACUACUUGUUGCAAUGAUCAUGAUUGGGGUGAUUCUUCUUUUGAUCUUGAAAAUUUAUUUAACCCCCAUGAUGAAUAUGAGAUUGAUAAUAGUGUUUGCAAUAUUAUUGAAAGUGGGUUUGGAAGAGUGUCAACUUUAGAUCCCACAUAUUUGGAUUUUGAUCAAUCUUAUGAAAAUUUUGAUAAAAGUGGGCUUGGAGAGGUCAUGACUUUAGUUAAUGUUAAUCCCACUAUCUUGGAAGAGUGUCAACUUUGCAUGCAUGUGGAUUGUGUUGAGAAUAUGUUAUGUGAUAGCUAUUUUCUUAAUUUGCUUAUGAUCCUACAUGUCAUUAUUAUGAGAGAGGAAAAUUUGGUUGUAGAAAUUUUCAUGUUACUAAAUUACCUCUCUUCAUGUUGAGAUUGCUAUCGUCUCUUUCUUUUUCCUUGCAUAUGCUAGUUUUUGCUUGCUUUGAUAAUUUGUUUGCUUAUAAAAUGCCUAUACAUAGGAAGUAUGUUAGACUUAGACGUGUUUGUCACGUGUUUCAUGAUGCUCUCUUUGCGCUUCAAUUCUUGUUUUUCAUGUGAGCAUCAUUGAAUUUAUCAAUGCCUAGCUAGGGGCGUUAAACGAUAGCGCUUGUUGGGAGGCAACCCAAUUUGAUUUUUGUUCCUUGCUUUUUUAUUCUGUUUAGUAAUAAAUAAUUCAUAUAGCCUCUGCUUAGAUGUGGUUUUAUGUUUUAGUUAGUGUUUGUGCCAAGUAGAACCUAUAGGAUCAUCUUGGGUGAUAGUUAAUUUGAUUCUGCUGAAAAACAGAAACUUUUGCACGCACGAGAAUAAUUUUAAUAAAUCACAGAAACGUGAUUUUUAGUUGAUUGUUUUUUCAGUAGAUCAAUAGACAAAUUGCCUAGGACUUACUAUUUUGGUAGGAUUUUUAGAGUUCCAUAAGUACUCUAAAGUUACAGAUUGCUACAGACUGUUCUAUUUUUGAUAGAUUCUGUUUUUCGUGUGUUGUUUGCUUAUUUUGAUGCAUCUAUGGCUAGUAUCGGGGGGUAUGAACCAUAGAGAAGUUGUAAUACAGUAGGUUUAACACCAAUAUAAAUAAAGAAUGAGUUCAUUACAGUACCUUAUGUGCUGGUUUUUCUUUCUAGCACUAACGGAGCUCAUGAGAUUUCCUGUUGAGUUUUGUGUUGUGAGGUUUUCAAGUUUUGGGUAAAGAUUUGAUGGACUAUGGAAUAAGGAGUGGAAAGAGCCUAAGCUUGGAAUGCCCAUGGCACCCCAAGAUAAUCCAAGGACAACCAAAAGCCUAAGCUCGAGGAUGCCCCGGAAGGCAUCCCCUCUUUUGUCUUCGUCUAUCAGUAACUUUACUUGGAGCUAUAUUUUUAUUCACCAAGUGAUAUGUGUUUUACUUGGAGCGUCUUGUAUGAUAUGAGUAUUUGCUUUUUAGUUUACCACAAUCAUCCUUGCUGUACACACCUUUUGGGAGAGACACACAUGAUUUAGAAUUUAUUAGAAUACUCUAUGUGCUUCACUUAUAUCUUUUGAGCUAGAUAAUUUUGCUCUAGUGCUUCACUUAUAUCUUUUUAGAGCACGGCGAUGGCUUAAUUUUGUAGAAAUUAUUAAUCUAUCAUGCUUCACUUAUAUUAUUUUGAGAGUAUUUUAGAACAUCAUGGUAUUUGCUAUGGUUAUAAAAUUGGUCCUAGAAUGAUGGGCAUCCAAGUUGGGUAUAAUAAAAACUAUCAUAGGAAGUGAAUUGGAUGCUAUGAUCAAUUUGAUGCUUGAUAAUUGUUUUGAGAUAUGAUGAUGGUAAUAUUAGAGUCAUGCUAGUUGGGUAAUUGUGAAUUUAAGGAAUACUUGUGUUGAAUUUUGUGAUUCCCGUAGCAUGCACGUAUGGUGAACCGUUAUGUGAUGAAGUUGGAGCAUGAUUUAUUUAUUGAUUGUCUUCCUUAUGAGUGGCGGUCGGGGACGAGCGAUGGUCUUUUCCUACCAAUCUAUCCCCCUAGGAGCAUGCACAUAAUACUUUGUUUUGAUGACUUGUAGAUUUUUGCAAUAAGUAUAUGAGUUCUUUAUGACUAAUGUUGAGUCCAUGGAUAAUACGCACUCUCACCCUUCCACCAUUGCUAGCCUCUCUUGUGCCGCGCAACUUUCGCCGGUACCAUACACCCACCAUAUACCUUCCUCAAAACAUUCACCAUACCUACCUAUUAUGGCAUUUCCAUAGCCAUUCUGAGAUAUAUUGCCAUGCAACUUUCCACCAUUCCAUUUACUAUGACAUGCUCCAUCAUUGUCAUAUUGCCUUUUGCAUGAUCAUGUAGUUGACACCAUAUUUGUGGCAAGGCCACCUUCAUAAUUUUUCAUACAUGUCACUCUUGAUUCAUUGCAUAUCCCGGUACACCGCCAGAGGCAUUCAUAUGGAGUCAUAUUUUGUUCCAAGUAUUGAGUUGUAAAUCAAUAAAAGUGUGUUGAUCUUCACUAUUAGAGCAUUGUCCCAAGUGAGGAAAGGAUGGUGGAGACUAUGAUUCCCCCAUAAGUCGGGAUGAGACUUCGGACUUUACAAAAAAGAAAAGAGGCCAAAGAAGCCCAAAUAAAAAAAAGAGGCCAAAGAAGCCCACCAAAAUAAAAAAAAAUAAAAAAUGAGGGGAAAAGAGAGAAGGGACAAUGUUACUAUCCUUUUUCCACACUUGUGCUUCAAAGUAGCACCAUGAUCUUCAUGAUAGAGAGUCUCCUAUGUUGUCACUUUCAUAUACUAGUGGGAAUUUUUCAUUAAAGAACUUGGCUUGUAUAUUCCAAUGACGGGCUUCCUAAAAAUGCCCUAGGUCUUCGUGAGCAAGCAAGUUGGAUGCACACCCACUUAGUUUCUUUUGUUGAGCUUUCAUACAUUUAUAGCUCUAGUGCAUCCAUUCCAUGGCAAUCCCUACUCACUCACAUUGAUAUAUAUUAAUGGGCAUCUCCAUAUCCCGUUGAUACGCCUAGUUGAUGUGACACUAUCUUCUCCCUUUUUGUCUUCUCCACAACCACCACUCUAUUCCACAUAUAGUGCUAUUUCCAUGGCUCACGCUCAUGUAUUGCGUGAAGAUUGAAAAAGUUUGAAAAUACUAAAGUAUGAAACAAUUGCUUGGCUUGUCAUCGGGGUUGUGCAUGAUUUAAUACUUUGUGUGAUGAAGAUAGAGCAUAACCAGACUAUAUGAUUUUGUAGGGAUAACUUUCUUUAGCCAUGUUAUUUUGAGAAGACAUGAUUGCUUAGUUAGUAUGCUUGAAGUAUUAUUGUUUUUAUGUCAAUAUGAACUUUCGUCUUGAAUUAUUUUGAUCUGAACAUUCAUGCCACAAUAAAGAAAAUUACAUUGAAUUAUGCUAGGUAGCAUUCCACAUCAAAAAUUCUAUUUUUAUCAUUUACCUACUCGAGGACGAGCAGGAAUUAAGCUUGGGGAUGCUUGAUACGUCUCCAAGGUAUCUAUAAUUUUUGAUUGUUCCAUGCUACUAUAUUACCCGUUUUGGAUGUUUAUGGGCUUUACUUUACACUUUUAUAUCAAUUUUGGGACUAACCUACUAACCGGAGGCCCAGCCUGUAUUGCUGUUUUUUUGCCUAUUUCAGUGUUUUGAAGAAAAGGAAUAUCAAACGGAGUCCAAACGGAAUGAAACCUUCGGGAGCAAUCUUUUUGGAACAAACACAAUCCAGGAGACCUGGAGUGGAUGUCAAGAAGCAGCCGAGGCGGCCACGAGGCAGGAGGGCACGCCCUAGGGGGUACGCGCGCCCCUACCCUCGUGGGCCCCUCGUGGCUCCCCUGACCUUCCUCCUUUGCCUAUAUAUACCUUCAUACCCUGAAAACAUCCAGGAGCACCCCGAAAAACUAUUUCCACCGCCACAACCUUCUGUAUCCGCGAGAUCCCAUUUUGGAGCCAUCGCCGGUGCUCCACCGGAGGGGGAAUCGACCAUGGAGGGCCUCUACAUCAUCUCCAAGGCCUCUCCGAUGAGUCGUGAGUAGUUUACCACAGACCUUCGGGGUCCAUAGUUAUUAGCUAGAUGGCUUCUUCUCUCUCUUUGAAUCUCAAUACAAAGUUCUUCUCGAUCUUCUUGGAGAUCUAUUCAAUGUAAUUUUUGAUUGUUCCAUGCUACUAUAUUACCCGUUUUGGAUGUUUAUGGGCUUUACUUUACACUUUUAUAUCAAUUUUGGGACUAACCUACUAACCGGAGGCCCAGCCUGUAUUGCUGUUUUUUUGCCUAUUUCAGUGUUUUGAAGAAAAGGAAUAUCAAACGGAGUCCAAACGGAAUGAAACCUUCGGGAGCAAUCUUUUUGGAACAAACACAAUCCAGGAGACCUGGAGUGGAUGUCAAGAAGCAGCCGAGGCGGCCACGAGGCAGGAGGGCACGCCCUAGGGGGUACGCGCGCCCCUACCCUCGUGGGCCCCUCGUGGCUCCCCUGACCUUCCUCCUUUGCCUAUAUAUACCUUCAUACCCUGAAAACAUCCAGGAGCACCCCGAAAAACUAUUUCCACCGCCACAACCUUCUGUAUCCGCGAGAUCCCAUUUUGGAGCCAUCGCCGGUGCUCCACCGGAGGGGGAAUCGACCAUGGAGGGCCUCUACAUCAUCUCCAAGGCCUCUCCGAUGAGUCGUGAGUAGUUUACCACAGACCUUCGGGGUCCAUAGUUAUUAGCUAGAUGGCUUCUUCUCUCUCUUUGAAUCUCAAUACAAAGUUCUUCUCGAUCUUCUUGGAGAUCUAUUCAAUGUAACUCUUUUUGUGGUGUGUUUGUCGAGAUUCGAUGAAUUGUGGGUUUAUGAUCAAGGUUAUCUAUGAGAAAUAUUUGAAUCUCCUUUGAAUUCUUUUAUGUAUGAUUGGUUAUCUUUGCAAGUCUCUUUGAAUUAUCAGUUUGGUUUGGCCUACUAGAUUGAUCUUUCUUGCAAUGGGAGAAGUGCUUAGCUUUGGGUUCAAUCUUGCGGUGUCCUUUCCCACUGACAGCAGGGGCAGCAAGGCAUGUAUUGUAUUUUUGCCAUUAAGGAUAAAAAGAUGGGGUUUAUAUCAUAUUGCAUGGGUUUAUCCCUCUACAUCAUGUCAUCUUUCUUAAUGCGUUACUCUGUUCUUCAUAAACUUAAUACUCUAGAUGCAGGCAGGAGUCGGUCAAUGUGUGGAGUAAUAGUAGUAGAUGUAGAAUCGUUUCGAUCUACUUGUCACUGACGUGAUGCCUAUAUACAUGAUCAUGCCAAGAUAUUCUCAUAACUAUGCACUUUUCUUUUAAUUGCUCGUCAGUAAUUUGUUCACCCACCGUAAUACUUAUGCUAUCUUGAGAGAAGCCACUAGUGAAACCUAUGCCCCCGGUCUAUCCUUUAUCAUAUAAGUUUCCCAUCAACUUUUAUUUGCAUCCUUACUUUCCAAUCUAUGUCAUAAAAAUACCAAAAAUAUUUAUCUUAUCUUAUUAUCUCUAUCAGAUCUCACUUUCGCAAAUUACCGUGAAGGGAUUGACAACCCCUUUAUCGCAUUGGUUGCGAGGUUCUUGUUUGUUUGUGUAGGUACGAGGGACUUUUGAGGAGCCUCCUACUGGAUUGAUACCUUGGUUCUCAAAAACCAAGGGAAAUACUUACGCUACUUUGCUGCAUCACCCUUUCCUCUUCAAGGGAAAACCAACAGAGUGCUCAAGAGGUAGCAGUAGCUGAGGGUGAUAGGUUUGAGAUGGAAAACAUUCAGGAUGAAAGCACCGGCUCACCAUCUCCCAGUUCAUGUGUAUCAUCCUAUAACAACCCCAUCAAGAUGAUGCAUGGGGGGUACCCACGAUGCUAUAUGCAUGUUUUCGUGCGUAGGGAGGACUUCCCUAUGUGCAUCAUUUGCAAGCAACCCACCCUCCUCAACUUGAAAACUAUGCUCGCCAACAUGCAGCAUGCCAGGCGCUAGUAAACAAUAGUAGGGCAAUGAUGUCAUGCUUAGUUAAGUUCCAUUAUUAUUGUGUAUCUGUAUGCAUCAGUGUUGAAUGCUUAUUUCUUGUCAUAAUGCUCAUGUUUUCAUAUGUAAACAUAUUAAUUAAGGAAAUAAUGGAAAUAAUUG
rnacentral:lncRNA from 1 species